GCCAGCCCGCUCAGAACUCAAAUGAAUUGACGGGGGCCCGCACAAGCGGCGGAGCAUGUGGAUUAAUUCGAUGCAACGCGAAGAACCUUACCUGGGUUUGACAUACACCGGAAAACCGUAGAGAUACGGUCCCCCUUGUGGUCGGUGUACAGGUGGUGCAUGGCUGUCGUCAGCUCGUGUCGUGAGAUGUUGGGUUAAGUCCCGCAACGAGCGCAACCCUUGUCUUAUGUUGCCAGCACGUAAUGGUGGGGACUCGUAAGAGACUGCCGGGGUCAACUCGGAGGAAGGUGGGGACGACGUCAAGUCAUCAUGCCCCUUAUGUCCAGGGCUUCACACAUGCUACAAUGGCCAAUACAGAGGGCUGCGAGACCGUGAGGUGGAGCGAAUCCCUUAAAGCUGGUCUCAGUUCGGAUCGGGGUCUGCAACUCGACCCCGUGAAGUCGGAGUCGCUAGUAAUCGCAGAUCAGCAACGCUGCGGUGAAUACGUUCCCGGGCCUU
rnacentral:rRNA from 1 species